rnacentral:miRNA from 1 species
UGGGAGCUCACAAUCUCAUGGG